GCUCUGGUAGCCCAAUGGGUAGAGGCGACGCACUCAAAAUGCGUUCAGUGCGGGUUCAAGUCCCGCCCGGAGUA
rnacentral:tRNA from 1 species